AUUGAACGCUGGCGGCAUGCUUUACACAUGCAAGUCGAACGGUAACAGGUUAAGCUGACGAGUGGCGAACGGGUGAGUAAUGCAUCGGAACGUGCCCGGUCAUGGGGGAUAACGCAGCGAAAGCUGCGCUAAUACCGCAUACGAUCUGAGGAUGAAAGCGGGGGACCGUAAGGCCUCGCGCGAUCGGAGCGGCCGAUGUCAGAUUAGGUAGUUGGUGGGGUAAAGGCUCACCAAGCCGACGAUCUGUAGCUGGUCUGAGAGGACGACCAGCCACACUGGGACUGAGACACGGCCCAGACUCCUACGGGAGGCAGCAGUGGGGAAUUUUGGACAAUGGGCGCAAGCCUGAUCCAGCAAUGCCGCGUGCAGGAAGAAGGCCUUCGGGUUGUAAACUGCUUUUGUACGGAGCGAAAAGGUCUCCUCUAAUACAGGGGGCUCAUGACGGUACCGUAAGAAUAAGCACCGGCUAACUACGUGCCAGCAGCCGCAGUAA
rnacentral:rRNA from 1 species